AUUUUAGUUUUGAAGAACGGAAAAGGAUGACAAGCUGGUGAUGGCAAACUAAGACAGUACUCCAAUAGCACCGGAUAGAGAAAGAUUUUUGAUCUAGUUCUGUGUAGUUUUAGGUGAAAGAAGUGGGAUGAUCACCUUGCAAUCAUGGCUGUUGGUGUGGUUGAUGGAAGUUCCGAAGCCAUUUUCCAGACUUCUAUGUCACUUGGUCCUUCAAGAUCAGCGCCACAACAUUAAAUAAAGAUUCAUUGUCUUCAAAUAAGAAUUGUAAUCAGAUAGGUCAGAGCCUUUCGAAAAGUACAAUUUUACUAGCCACGAUUACUGUUGCCAUUUUCAUUAUGGUAUUAUUGAGUUUGUUUCUAUGCCUAUUAUUUAUUGACUUGUAGAUGGGAUUUCUGUUUCUACAAAGGCAGUUUGGUUGAGCACGUAGAUGGUCACACUGACGUCAUUCACAAAGAGCUGUAUAGAGAUUGGUUGCCUUGGAGUGGCACACCCUUGAUAUCAUUACUUCCUCUUGAUUGGUUGUAGCUGCUGUCCAGCCUCCGCAAUAUCUGUAGAGAAAGAAAAAGGUCACUUUCUGUUGCUAUCAGAAACUUUUCAACUUUCAUAUUUAAAAUUAUGUUUCAUAAAUGAGAAUGUUUGGGUUAUUGCUUGCAGUUCUUUUGGCAAUGGCAUAUAGCUCGCUGUUCAAUAGAGUGCAGUUCUUAGCAAAUUCUUGAGCUGAUUUUCUCUUUAUGUCUGUGUUUGUCUCUUCAAUUUCGUUGUCUAUAAUUAAAUUUUCCAUUCAAGCAAGGAAAAUGAAAUACACUCUAACUUCACUCAUUGAUAUAAUUAGUACAAGAGAAAGCACAGAAAUAGGGGAUAGCAAGCUGAAUAUGAAUUUAAAGGGGGUGCACAGGUGCAAAUUCUAUGUGUAGAACCAAAUUCACAAAAGACACCAAUUGACAAUGAUCUAUCAGAUAGUGAAAUGAAUUCAAAAGAUACAAGGAAAUGGUCCCAGUCCGCCAUUCAGGAAGAAUUACAAGAAAAUCAUAUAAGGAAAAAGUCCAUGCCCUGUAGUUGUUGACAUUGAUAAUGAGGAUACUACAAAAGUGGAUCAAGUUCGAGAGGAAAAUAAAGAGCAUGCUUCAGGCUUAAAAUCUAAGAAAGUUCCUCGAUCUGCUCCAUCCACUGCAAAUAAUGAAGUUGUGUCUAGUAAUAAUGCAAAUAAUAUUAUUUAAGAUUUGAAGCUUUUCGCUCACAAUGGAUGAUCAGAAAUCAUGAAGUUUCAUAUUUUGUAAUGAAGUAUAUAUAAAGGAAGUAGAUAAUGUAAUAGUUGUUGGAAUUGUAAUUCAUGUAUUAAGAAUUUAUGGGUAAUUGUUAUGAUUUUGAUU